AGAGGAAGAGAGGAAAGAAAAUUACCUGUGUGGGUUCAAACUGGUCCCAGCUGUCACGCCUGCUGCCGAGGUCUCUGCUGGGGUCUGUGCCAGACCUGAGCCGUGCUGGGGGCUGGCAGCCUCUGCUCUGACCUGCAGCCAAUCUCUGCCUCCAGACUCGAGCCCAGGGACACCAAGAAUGAGGAGAGCCGAGCUUAAGGGCAGGCAGUGAAUUUUCUUUGGCCUGAAGGAAACUUUUGGAGGUUUUAGGACUACAUCCUGGCAUGAGGCAAGAUAUGAAGGCAAUUUUCAGUCAAAAGUGUCUUCUCUUGGAGUACAUGUUCAACUUCUCAGUUUGUGUGGAUGUGUAUGCACACAAUUUUAUUCAGUCUUAAUUUAUAAAAUCUCAGUGCUGUAAUGUGA